UAACAGAUAAAUAAUUGGAUCAAUUGCUUCAAAAAUCAAUCAUCGGUUCAUCAUGAUUAAAAAUUAACCCUUUAACUAACUUUGCUAGCACUGUGGUUUAUAAACUUAAUGCUCAUACAACCAUGCUUACAAAACAACAUUUAUAUAAACAAAUGCACAACAAGCCAACACCUAGAUCUUCACAUCAACAGAAACUAAACAAACUUGUAAUCCAAAAUACAAAAUCAAGCAUGAAGCUGAAGUUAAAGUCCACAGUUCACUUGUCAUAAAACAUCUACAAAACCUACUUUAAUGUUGACAUUAAACACUGUACUGCAAACACAAAUCUAACUUUAUAAUGUGCAAGAUGCGACCUAUUUAAGCCUAUCAUUGCAAACUAAUACACGAUAGGGAACAUCAGAAUAAAUAGAGAAAAGAAGAGAAGGAAAAAAAGAACAGGAAAAUUGAAUUAGCUACAGCUUGUAUUCCAUCAAAUUCGUUGAACUACACGAUAAACCUUAGUCAUUGUUCAUUGAGCUAAGAAGGAUACCUGGCAAACAAAGUAAGAGAGAAUUGAGAAGAUCAACAGUAUGCAGCAGCAAAUAAGCCCAGAUUUGAUCAAUCAAACAAUGAUUAGCUCAGGAAAACCAAUAGAAUAGUAGACGGAUCCCAAAACAAAACAGACUUUAAACCAAACAUAAACCACUUCCGUCACCCAACAUUCAAUUUAAGUGAUUUUCCAGUCAUUCUAAAUUUAGAUAAUGAUUUAGGGAAUUGAAACAGAAAAUCUAGACCAAUUUAAGUAACUUUCAACAUUUUUAUUGGAUUUUUUAGAAGGAAAUCAUUGAAUAUCAGCUUUAGUAUAUCUUUCUAUUUUUUGUGCUUCC
rnacentral:lncRNA from 1 species